UCUUAUAGGUGCCUCCCAGCCUGCUUCCAUCAGAGAGGAUGUGCUGGGCCAUCCCCCAACUGCUAUGAAACAGCCCCACAGCGGGGCUGUGCUUGGCACUGCUUUCCCUGCUCAGGAAAAUCCAAGGCCGCAGGAAGCAUGAGGCCAUGGAGGACUUAAGGACACAGGAAUCCUUAAACAAAGCCCCAUAAUUUACUGGAAAUUUAAAAUGUGUUCAAAAAAAACCACCCACCAGAAGCCUCCGGUACUGCUGAAGCUGGUUUGUGACCUUGAGACCACUGUUCUUUAACUUGCUGGAGACCAGGUCAAAAGUCUCUACUUACUUCAAUCAUGGCCCUAAGGAUGCUCUGAGAAAAGAUUGCAGUGAAGCGUCAAGCUUAGGAAAGCGCAAAGGCCUUCUGCAGGUGGCUGGUGCAGUAGGUACCACAGCCACAGCAACUGAAAGCCUAGAAAAGAAUGUUCUGGUCGCCAAAGUCUUUGACCCUAUCAAAAGGUUCAACAUCAAAAACUGAUAUGAUUUUAUCAGUAGAAAUGACAUCAGAAAAAAGGCAGUAACAUCUGCUUCGCCAAUGCACCCUCUGGACCCUGGAACUUUCCCAUCUGACCUGCAGCUGAAAUCUUCCAUAUGUAUUAUC